GGGUCAUUAGAUCAGUGGAUAGACCGCCCGACAACGAAUCAGGGGGGUCGCAGGUUCAAUCCUUGCACGGCUCG